UAAUUUUUUUUUAUUUUUCAUUUUUUUAUAUUUUAUUUUAUUAUUUGAAAUAGAAAUGUGAAAUAUUUUUUGUGGGUGGUUGCUUCUUACUGACCGAGUUUUCCAUGAUGUGUGGGAAACCUCUUGUUGGGAAGCAUAGAUUGAAUUAAAAAAGCAGCCAGUAUUAAACAGCAUGAUGUUAUCAUUUACAUGUUAAUUGCAUCAUGUUACCUGUCUCCUGGCACAUCCAUGCCUUUAUUUUAAGAAAUUACUCUUUUUUUUUCUCCCAUCUCAUAGUUUCCAAUUCAUCCUCUCUUUUUUUUUUUCUUUUUUUUUGCCUUUUUUCAAAAAUUGUCUUUAUACACUAUUUUUUGGGUAUUAUGGUGAGGAGGGUAAGAUUCUCUUUUACUACUUGAGAAAAAAAGUUUGAUACUCUGGCAGAGAAUGAUCAAUGAUACACAUGCAUUUACUUUGAAAUUCGAUACAUGGAAUACAAGGCAGUCAGAUUCAACUGCCGAAAUUAGAGGUACUAACUUAGAUAUGGUAUGAACCAAAUAUCAAGGCUAUUUGAUUAUCAGACUAUCAAAUUGGUGGAUAUGACAUUUUUACUGGACGAUUAAUAAUGAAUUCAAGCGUCUUUGGUUUUGUUUGGAUGCUUGUAAAUGAGCCAAGUUGUAAAUGAUUUACAGCAUUUUUCUCCAUCUAAUUUACAGGUAAAAAAGUUUGGAUUUCAUUUGCAGGCUCUCUCCAUUUACAGCCUACAUGGCUAUAAAAAUGUUAAAAAUCAGCUCUCCAUUUUCCAAACAAACAAUCAUUUCCUACAAAUCAUUUAUUUACAUUUUAAAGCCAAACAUGAUAGUUGUAAAUGACUUACAGCUUAAUGCCAAAAAGGAUAGUUGUAAACGAUUUACAGCUUAAUGGCAAACAGGACAGGCUGUGUAAAUCAUUUACAACUAAAGCUAUUUGCAGGCAUCCAAACAACACCUUUGUUAAAUUAAGUAGUGCGAACAACUCAGUGACAAUGGGUCGACCAUGUAGUCGGUUUAAUUUGUAUUAACACAUGCCACAUUAUUAGCAUUAAGUACCUGUGUAUCAAGUAUCAUUUUCAGCCCGAGUACCAAAUAAGCGCCCUUUAUUUGUAUUUGGUCUACAUCUUGCAAGAUUGGGAUUCUACACUAGGAUACGUGUGCAGCGAUUAGAAAAUUGUUUUGAAUUGUUUGUACCUCUCUAGCCUUUUGUUUGUUUGCCUUGCUUGUUGAUGGGCUGCCAAGUUUGCAAACUUUAUCUUGUUGGUUGCAUGCAAAGUAUACCAACUGUCUGUAUGCAUAUUAUAUAUAACUGAAGCAUCAUUUGGAUAUUUUCAUGCCAAAAUUUUGAAUAAUCAAAGCACAUAGAAGGAUAUUUUAAAACUUUUAAA